GCUUAACACAUGCAAGUCGAACGGAAAGGCCCUGCUUUUGUGGGGUGCUCGAGUGGCGAACGGGUGAGUAACACGUGAGUAACCUGCCCUUGACUUUGGGAUAACUUCAGGAAACUGGGGCUAAUACCGGAUAGGAGCUCCUGCUGCAUGGUGGGGGUUGGAAAGUUUCGGCGGUUGGGGAUGGACUCGCGGCUUAUCAGCUUGUUGGUGGGGUAGUGGCUUACCAAGGCUUUGACGGGUAGCCGGCCUGAGAGGGUGACCGGCCACAUUGGGACUGAGAUACGGCCCAGACUCCUACGGGAGGCAGCAGUGGGGAAUAUUGCACAAUGGGCGGAAGCCUGAUGCAGCAACGCCGCGUGCGGGAUGACGGCCUUCGGGUUGUAAACCGCUUUCGCCUGUGACGAAGCGUGAGUGACGGUAAUGGGUAAAGAAGCACCGGCUAACUACGUGCCAGCAGCCGCGGUGAUACGUAGGGUGCGAGCGUUGUCCGGAUUUAUUGGGCGUAAAGGGCUCGUAGGUGGUUGAUCGCGUCGGAAGUGAAUCUUGGGGCUUAACCCUGAGCGUGCUUUCGAUACGGGUUGACUUGAGGAAGGUAGGGGAGAAUGGAAUUCCUGGUGGAGCGGUGGAAUGCGCAGAUAUCAGGAGGAACACCAGUGGCGAAGGCGGUUCUCUGGGCCUUUCCUGACGCUGAGGAGCGAAA
rnacentral:rRNA from 1 species